rfam:Smittium culicis strain GSMNP scaffold-6072, whole genome shotgun sequence.
AUUCUUGCGCUCGGGUAUAUCUGCACCAGUGAAGUACUAACUGAGGUCAGAUUAUUGCUAAUUGCAAACUAUACCAAUAUCCCGCAAUACGACUUUCUACCAGAGAGUCGGAUUGCAAUAUUUGGAAAGCCAAUCUCUAUUGGU